AGCGAACGCUGGCGGCGUGCUUAACACAUGCAAGUCGAACGAUGAACCCUGAGCUUGUUCCGGCGGAUUAGUGGCGAACGGGUGAGUAACACGUGAGUAACCUGCCCUUGACUCUGGGAUACCUGCGGGAAACUCUAGCUAAUACCGGAGACGACCCGCGGCGGCAUCGCCAGGCGGUGGCAAGAUUUUCGGUCAAGGAUGGACUGGCGGCCUAUAAGCUAGUUGGUGAGGUAACGGCUCACCAAGGCGACGACGGGUAGCCGGCCUGAGAGGGUGACCGGCCACACUGGGACUGAGACACGGCCCAGACUCCUACGGGAGGCAGCAGUGGGGAAUAUUGCACAAUGGGCGCAAGCCUGAUGCAGCAACGCCGCGUGAGGGAUGACGGCCUUCGGGUUGUAAACCUCUUUUAGUAGGGAAGAAGCGAAAGUGACGGUACCUGCAGAAAAAGCACCGGCUAACUACGUGCCAGCCGCCGCCGUAAUAC
rnacentral:rRNA from 1 species